UGGGGAAUAUUGCACAAUGGGCGAAAGCCUGAUGCAGCAACGCCGCGUGAGCGAUGAAGGCCUUCGGGUCGUAAAGCUCUGUCCUCAAGGAAGAUAAUGACGGUACUUGAGGAGGAAGCCCCGGCUAACUACGUGCCAGCAGCCGCGGUAAUACGUAGGGGGCAAGCGUUAUCCGGAAUUAUUGGGCGUAAAGAGUGCGUAGGUGGUCAUGUAAGCGCGGGGUGAAAGGCAAUAGCUCAACUAUUGUAAGCCUUGCGAACUGCAUGACUUGAGUGCAGGAGAGGAAAGUGGAAUUCCUAGUGUAGCGGUGAAAUGCGUAGAUAUUAGGAGGAACACCAGUGGCGAAGGCGACUUUCUGGACUGUAACUGACGCUGAGGCACGAAAGCGUGGGGAGCAAACAGG
rnacentral:rRNA from 2 species